ACGGAUCACUAAACGAGAGUGCGACUGUGGAAAUUGCAGGAAACAUAGGGAAGUCGAUGAAAAAGUGGAAAAGUUUCUAUUAUACCGUUAAAUGUAUAGUGACACUACAGCUGGAUCGAGCCCAUGGAAAGUUAAAGCAGCUGUGCAAAGGCAGGACAGAUGCAUCCCACAGCCUCUCCCCAGGAAGCAGUUGGGAUCUGUCCAUGUCAAUUAUAAUCCACCACAACAGUUGGCUGACUGCGAUUCAUUAUCAUAAGAAGAAGCGGCUCCUCGGCCCUCAACUGCUUCCAGAUGUGGAAUGCCAGAGAUAAUCUGUCCUUUUGGAUCUCAAUGAGAGCGGUGUGUCUUGCAGAAGCUAAAGGUCCAGAUCCGGCUACCAGAUUGUAGACAUCCUACACGUGCAUGCGAACAUGGAAAAGAGAUGAAGACGCAGACAAACAAACACUUAUGCAACUUGAAUUACAGCACCCCACCACCAUGACCUCCUUCUCCCCUCUUUCUUCCAUACCAACAGAGAAUGGCUGGUUAGAACCAGACAAAGAGGAAUUUCAGCACAGCAGCCAAAAAAACCCAGAGACGAGAGCAGAGAUCACAUUGCAUGUAGAUGUAGUUUUCUAACUUACACUAAUACCCGCCUCAUGCUGACUCCAAGGUUUCAGGGGAUUGGCUAAGAGCAAGUGCUUAUGCAACAGAGAGUACAGAAAACAUAGACUUUGAGCAGUGGUUUCCCAAUGAAGUCAGUGU